UCCAGGGUAGCCUAGUGGACAUGGCAUCUGCCCGGUAAGCGGAACACUGUGACAAUUGACAAUUAAAAAACAGUUUAUUGACAUCUAGUCAACGGUCAAAAGAGAGUUUACAAAGUUUAAAACAGUGUAGGAAAUAUGUACACCAGACGAGGCCUUUACCGAAGGGACGUCUGGAUUCUAUAAGGAGCUUAAAGUCGUCCUGAGCGGAACAUUGUGGGUUCGAAUCCCAUCCCUGGAC